GUGGCACAGAUGAUUCACCCUCCCUCAACUCCGAGGUCCGGCGGCGAUAGGGCGGCUCUCCCUCGAGAAGGCUGUGGUAUGCCUUAAUCCUCUCUCUCUCUCUCCCUCUCAAAUCCAGGGCCGCCCUUCACCUCACCUUCUCUGUCGCAGAUCCAUGGUGACAGCGACGGACGAGUGCCUUCUCCAGUUGUGGCCUGCUCCCUCUCUUGGUCUCCCCCAUGGCGUGAUGGCGGUGGAUUGGGUCGAUGGGUACGGCAGAUCCAGGCGCAAGCCACUCGAUCCAGCAAGCGGAUGGGCGGAUCUGGUGAGCAACUUUUGGAUCCGACUAGCAGGCGUAGCGACAGUAGUAUAGAUCUAACGUGCAAGCACACCAUCGGUGCAGAUUUGGCCAACAGUGCCUAGAUAGGCUUGGCGGGCCACGCUCACUAGGCUUUUUUCUUUUUUUUGUUUUCUCUUAUCGAUUAACUGAGGUGGGAUUAACGAAAGCCUUUCGUUAGAGGUAGUUGGGGUUGCCCGCCUCCAAAAAUCUAAAACGUCCGCCUCCAUAAAUUCUUUUUGUAGUAGUGACAGUUUGGUUGUAAAUCGUGAGAUAAAUUUUUUAAUCCUAAUUAGUCCAUAAUCAGCCAUAAUUGCUACAGUAACCAUCGUGUGCUAACCACGAAAAAAUUGCGGGCUAUCAAAAAUAGCGCUGGCUGAUUCUAGCCGCUAUUUUCCGCUAUAGCGCCGCUAUAGCGACCGCAUACGACGUAGCGGUCGCGCUAUGGUGCCGCUAUAGCCCGCUAUUUAAAUACAGCACACACCAGAUGAAAAGUUUAAAACUAAAAUCUCACAAGUGACAAGUAACUCACAAGUCACAACCCAUGAUCUAAUAGUCUAUU
rnacentral:lncRNA from 1 species